CUGCCACACAGAUCCCCUCUGGCUUCUACAAUCCUUCUUCCCCCCUCUUCCACAAGGUUCUCUGUAUCUGCUCCUAUCAGUUGCUGGAUGAAGCCUCUCCAAUGACGUUUCUGCUAGGCUCUGGUCUAUGAGUAGGCACCAUAUUUUAUUGAAUGACUGAAAUACUACACAAAGUGUUGAGUGACACUUUCUGAAUGUUAUUUCAUUCAAGAGGUGCAAUGACAUCUGUAGGCUGUGUCUAAUUACCCCCAUUCUGUAAAUUAGGAAAAUGCAGUCAAUGAUCUUGGAGUUAGGAUUUAAAUGUAGUUUCUGAAUUUAGCUCUCUGUCAGAUGAUGUGUUAAAUGGCAGAAAUGUACUAUAAAUAGAUACACUGGUGUAGAAAUCCUUGGGAAGGCAACUGAAAUGAGACCUGCAGUGGCAGAGCCACCGUUUCCAGUGACUUGAAGCUAAAUUUCUACUCACUUUGGGGUGUGACUCUGCUCUACUGACUGACCAUGGCUUUGUAUUGUGUCUUCCUACGUUGGCCUUGGAGAUGAACAAUAGAUAACUCUAUGAUGGAGUGAGGAAGGAGGGAAAGAACUGAUUGAAUAAUACCAAGACAUCACUAGAAUGUAAUGAAGCAGAGUACAGUUUCUUUACUCAUGUUUUUCCUUCUUUCAUAGGCAAUGUCAUUUAGCAGGGACAUGUGAUAGGGUGCUCCAGGCGAUGAAUGCUUACAUAUAGGUAAAGUUCUUCUUUUUAGGCAGAACAAGACACUGGCUGAUGGAAUGGUGCAACUGCGAUUCAGGGUGGGUUUUCUUACCUCAAUUAACUUAAACUACGUAAUCCCCUAGAGACAUAACCAGAAGCUAACCUAACAUAACCAGAGGUUAAGCUAGAAAACCCACCAUAGGCGUGCUCAGAGUCUUUUCUUCUAGGCAAUUCUAGAGUCUGUCAUAUUAACAAAUCCAUUUAAAUCAUCACUGCUGCAUGUCACCAUACCCGGCUCAACCUGGUUUUUAUGACAGAUACACUUUUUAUAGCUCUCAUCAUUCGUAUUUUUACUUAAUCUUUAGACUUGCAAACAGUAUUUUUUUAAUCCUCUUCUUUGCUCUCCCCCAACUGCUCUCAGAUCCUCCUCUACCUCCUCGAUCAUUCAAUAUCAUAUUCCUUCUCUCAGAAUAAUGGAAUCUGAUUUGUUCUGGCCAACUACUCCGUGUGGAGCUUGCUCUGGAGUGUGGUUGAAAUACUUGUAAAUGCCACUGAAGAAAAUUGGUGUUUCCUCUCCCUGCUGGUUCCAGGACGAUAGAAUUAGAUCAAGUUGAGAAAGAGAACUUCUGCAUUUUCCAGACACAACAGGGCAGAUGCACAAAUGAAUUCAGAGACUAUAAAGCAGGCACACGGCUUGCACAAGCACAAGGCAGACAAAAUCCAGCAUGGAGAAUGCAAGGGGAUGGCCACGCUCAGCUGUUUCAAACUGCAGUCCCUGGGAACGGAACUCAAGUAUUCAUGUUUCAAGCCAAGCACUUUAUUGAUUAAUUCACCUCCCCAGCCAUUUUCAAUCUUAUCCCCAUUGUGAGAACAAGACUCCAUGAAGCCACGAUUGGCGAAUCACAUCAGGAUAUGAGGAUGUCAGUUUGUCCACCCGAGUCAGUCCGUUAUUUUAUCCAUGUGCUUAUCACUCACAGAGAGCUGACAGUCAGAAUGUCUCUGUCUCUCUAUGACUACCAUGGCUCCAAGCAAGAACGGGAAUCAAGUGUGUCUUCUUUAGAUACUCACUCUUCAUAAACAUGAGGUCAAACACUGCA